rnacentral:lncRNA from 1 species
AAACCCACAGCACGUGGAAGUUCCUGGGCCAGGGAUCAAAACCUUGCCAGCACAGAAACCCGAGCCACAGCAGUGACAGCAUUGGAUCCUUAACCCACUGAGCCACCAGGGAACUCUGAGAGUAUAUCUGAAAAGUUCUCAUCAUAAGGAAAAAAAAAUUAUAACUAGGUGAGAGGAUGGAUGUUAACUAGUCUUAUUGUGGUGAUCGUUUUGCCAUCUAAACACAUAUGAAAUCAUUACAUUGUACGGCUUAAACUCAUACAAUGUUAUAUGUCAAUUACAUCUCAACAAAAUUGGGGAAAAAUGUAUCCUCUAUUACCUAUGGAAUAUUUGGUAAUUAGACAUGUCUUACUUUCAACAACAAAAAACCAAACAACCCAAUUAAAAAAUGGCCAGAGAGGCUAUGAAUAAACAUUUUUUUUCCCAAAGAAGACCGACAGAUGGCCAGCAGGGACAGGAGAAGAUGUUCAGCAUCACCAAUUAUUGGAGAAAUGCAAAUCGAAACCACAGGGAGGUAUUACCUCACGCUUGUUAGAAUGGCUAUCACUGGAGUUCCCACUGUGGCUCAGUGGUAAUGAACCCGACUCGUAUCCAUGAGGAUGGGGGUUUGCUCCUUGGCCUUCUCAGUGGGUUAAGAAUCCAGCAUCACCAUGAGUUGCGGUGUAGGUUGCAGACGAGGUUCAGAUCCAGCAGCUGCAGCUCCACUUGGCCCCCUAGCCCGGGAACUUCCAUAUGCCAUGGGUGCAGCUCUUAAAAAAAAAAAAAAAAAAAAAAGAAUGGCUAUUAUCAAAAAGGCAAGAAAUAAUGAGUGCUGGCAAGGAUGGGGAGAAAAGGGACCCCUCCUACACUGCUGGUGGGAAUAUAAAUUGGCGUAGUCACUACGGAAAACUGUAUGGAGGUUCCUCAAAAAGAGAAUAACGACUCCAUGAUCCAGCUGCUCCACUUCUGGGUAUUCACCUGACGAACACAAAAGCAGUAAUUUGAGAAGAUACAUGCACCCCUAGGGCAUCAUCAUAGCAGCCAAGGCAGGGAAGCAACCUGAGUGUACGCCCGUGGAUGCGUGUGGACGAAGAAGAUGGGGGUAUCGCAUACAACACACAAAACAGGAGAACUCCGCCAGAAGAUGAUUCAUGCCGUUUGUGACAACAUGGGUGGACCGUGAAGGUACUGUGUAAAGUAAAAUGUCAGGCAGAGAAAGACAAAUACCGUAGGAUUUAACGCAUGUGUAGAAUAAUACUAAUAAAGAACAAACCAAACAAAAAUAAAAACAUAGGUCCAAGACCAGAGCAGUGGCUUAUCGGGGGCGACGGCGGGGAGGGUGAGACGGGUAAAGGGGUUCCACUGUACGGCGAAGGAGGGAAGCGCCACCUGGCGUGGUGAGCAGGCUGUGGUGUACAGAGAAGUCGAGGUAUAAUAUUAUACACAUGGAACUUAUAAUGCUAUAAACCAAAGUUACUUUAAUAAAUAAAAGUAUCUUUCAAUAAUACAUAGAGGCCAUAUUUUUUAUAUUAGCGUUUUUCAAUGCCAGCCUUAUUUUUUACGCCCCCCCCCCCCCGCAGAAUGAAUGGGCAGCCUUCCCUGGGGAAAGCAGUCUGCUUACUGAGCACAGAGGAUGCAUUUAUAAACUGCGCACACAAAACAAGUAACUCCACAUUCUGCACCCAUAGUCCGUGUGGCAUAAAAGCCCGGGUCUCCAGACUCUCUCUGUCCUACUCGUCUGCUUUUUAUAUCUAAUUUUCUAUAGGAAUUAUCUCAUAUUAGCUGAUAGAAUCAUUCCAUUCUAUUUACUUAGCUAUGUUUUUACUUAAUAUUCUGGAAAAUAUUUUCUGUCGCUUUAAAUCAUGAAAAAGCAACUGUUGAGUUCCAUGACUUUAAAAACCAAAUAUUCCUUCUCAGAAAAACAUGGACCAACACAGACAGGGGCCUGGUCACAGAGCAUACAAAGACCAUGCCAGGAAACGUGGCUUUUAUCCUGAGGCCUGAGGGAGGUCCUUGCAGGGUGCUGUGUCGUCUGCUCGGUUACAUACAUUUGCUAAAGACCCCUCUGGCCAUAGACCAAAAGAACCACAGGACUUCAAAAGACAAAGACGGGAAAGAUGCCAGAGGGGAGAUAAGCUGUGUCCUUCCAAGCAGAGGAAAUGCAUGUUAACAGAGGGAGUGUCGGGGCUUUGGGGAGGUGGCGAAUGGACUAGUUUCAUUUCUUCUGGCUCGUCGGAAAGGUAUUUGGAGCAUGGAAAGUUCCUACAUGGCUUCAGCUCUGCCGGCUUAGACAUCAGCAACUCUGGAAGCCUCCCCUGGCCACCCCAGACGAGUUGAGACACCACGUCCCCUGCACCCUCGGCGUCCUGGGCCCACUGCUCUCGGAGAAAUUAUCCCAGCCCACAGUGGGUGCCGGGCACCUGACUGUCGCUCUCAGGAGGCCUGAGUCCUGGGAGGGCAGGCCCUCUCCUGUGUUCACCACCAUUUUCAAACCAAAUGGGACCAGCAGGAGGCCUGACGCACUGUAUAUGGUCCCUCAGUAUUUGCUGGAUGAACAAACUUUAUCUUCUGGACAAAGGCACUCAUGCCAAACUCUUUGGCAUGAAGUACGAUGAAAUCAAGCAUGUUUCAUGGCAAAGAGUCUAGUGGUGUGGGCCCCACACGUUAGGCGGGGAGGAAAGGAGAUGAGUUAGGAAGUGGUUGCAGUCACCUGGUGCUAAGGGUUUGGGAAACAGUGGAUCACAAGAUGGACAGAGUUUAUAAUCCGACUGAGAAAAGACGGCGUUACAGUGCGGGGACCCAUAUGGUCUAUUACAGGUCAUAUUGCCCGUCGCUCUAACGCCCCUGCAAGGGAAGGAGUUGACUGGGGUAUGAUGAUGAGACAGUGGCCAAGAGCAGGGACCACAGGGAGCUGGUUUCAGGCCUGUUUUUCUACUUAUCAGCUGCGCGAUCUGAUAACAUCCAGCAACCACGUCACGUCACCUCUCGGUCUCAGUUCCUUCGACUGUGAGAACAGAAUGACGGACUUUUCAUAUGAGAUUAUUUUGUGGAUUACACGAGAUCAUACACAUAAAACGCUUCGCACAGUCCCAGGCAGGGGGUAAGUGCCUAGCAAAUGCCAACCUGUCACCAUUUUAGCCCCCAGGAAGGAAGUGAGCUAGGAUACGUCUGAGCUCAGGGUCUGGAUACGGAUCCAUUUAUCUAUGUCGUAAUCGCGGAGAAUCAAGAGACCUGGGAAAUGUAACCAAAAUAGCUACGUGGCCUCAGACAUGUCAUUUCACCUCUCUGGUUCCCACUGUGGCUCAGAGGAAAGGAAUCUGACUAGUAUCCAAGAGGUUUUGGGUUCGUUAACCACUGCACCACGAAGGGAACACCCAUGUGAUACUUCUUAUCUUGAUCUGAUUAUGAUUGUACUGUGGAUCUCAAAGCGAGGGUCCUACAUAUACCCCAUUAAGGCCUGUAACCCAGCACCCAUGACACCAUAGUACUCACUCAAGUAUGUGUGGGUCCUUCUCUACUAGACAGAAGGCCUCUGAGAACAGGAACAGCUUCCAUAUGCCUGGGGCCUACCAUGCUUCUCGGAAUUGUUACAUGUUUGUUGAAUGAAUGAUUAAGCAAAAGAGAGAACGACUAGACAAUUAAGAACAGUCGUAUAUGUGUAUAACU